rnacentral:rRNA from 1 species
AUUGAACGCUGGCGGCAUGCCUAACACAUGCAAGUCGAACGGCAGCACGGCAGUAGCAAUACUGUGGGUGGCGAGUGGCGGACGGGUGAGGAAUACGUCGGAAUCUGCCCAGUCGUGGGGGAUAACUAGCCGAAAGGUUAGCUAAUACCGCAUACGACCGAGAGGUGAAAGCGGGGGACCGCAAGGCCUCGCGCGAUUGGAUGAGCCGACGUCGGAUUAGCUAGUUGGUGGGGUAAAGGCCCACCAAGGCGACGAUCCGUAGCUGGUCUGAGGGGAUGAUCAGCCACACUGGAACUGAGACACGGUCCAGACUCCUACGGGAGGCAGCAGUGGGGAAUAUUGGACAAUGGGCGCAAGCCUGAUCCAGCAAUGCCGCGUGUGUGAAGAAGGCCUCGGUU